AGAGUUUGAUCCUGGCUCAGGAUAAACGCUCGCGGCGUGCAUCAAACAUGCAAGUCGAACGCUCGGUGGUCGCAAGACCGCCGGGAGUGGCAGACGGCUGAGGAACACGUCGGUAUCUGUCCCACAGUGGGGAAUACACCACCGAAAGGUGGAUCAAUUCCGCAUACGCUUCCCGGUGGACACGCCGGGACGGAAAGCCGCAAGGCGCUGAGGGAGGGGCCGGCGGGCGAUUAGUUAGCUGGUGGGGUAAUGGCCUACCAGGGCGAUGAUCGCUAGCGGGUCUGAGAGGAUGACCCGCCAGACUGGGACGGAGGAACGGCCCAGACACCUACGGGUGGCAGCAGUUGGGAAUUUUGCGCAAUGGCCGAAAGGCUGACGCAGCAACGCCGCGUGGAGGACGAAGCCUUUUGGGGUGUAAACUCCUUUUCUCAGGGACGAUAAUGACGGUACCUGGGGAAGAAGCCCCGGCUAACUACGUGCCAGCAGCCGCGGUAAUACGUAGGGGGCAAGCGUUGUCCGGAUUUAUUGGGCGUAAAGCGUUCGCAGGUGGUGCAGGAAGUGAUGUGUGAAAGCGCCUGGCUUAACUGGGCGAGGCCAUGUCAAACUCCUGGACUUGAGGGUCGGAGAGGCAGACGGAAUUCCGGGUGGAGUAGUAAUAUGCGUAGAGAUCCGGAGGAACACCUGUGGCGAAAGCGGUCUGCUAGACGAUGCCUGACACUGAGGAACGAAAGCGUGGGGAGCGAACAGGAUUAGAUACCCCGGUAGUCC
rnacentral:rRNA from 1 species